rnacentral:rRNA from 1 species
UACAGAGGUCUCAAGCGUUGUUCGGAUUCAUUGGGCGUAAAGGGUGCGUAGGUGGCGCCGUAAGUCGGGUGUGAAAUUUCGGAGCUUAACUCCGAAACUGCAUUCGAUACUGCGGUGCUUGAGGACUGGAGAGGAGACUGGAAUUCAUGGUGUAGCAGUGAAAUGCGUAGAGAUCAUGAGGAAGACCAGUGGCGAAGGCGGGUCUCUGGACGGUAACUGACGCUGAGGCACGAAAGCGUGGGGAGCAAACAGG